AACUGGUCGGGAGCUAAUGCUGCUCUCUUGACGAGGUCAUGGCAGGCCGAAACUAGUA
rnacentral:hammerhead_ribozyme from 15 species